GAAAUGCGAUAAGUAAUGUGAAUUGCAGAAUUCAGUGAAUCAUCGAAUCUUUGAACGCACAUUGCGCCCGCCAGCACUCUGGCGGGCAUGCCUGUUCGAGCGUCAUUUCAACCCUCAGAACCCCUUGCGGGAUCUGGCGUUGGGGAUUGGCAUCCAGCCAGCCCCGAAAUCUAGUGGCGGUCCCUCCGCGACCUCCCCUGUGCAGUAGCGAUACCUCGCAGCGGGACAGCGGUCUGACCACGCCGUAAAACCCCCAACUUCUCAAGGUUGACCUCGAAUCAGGUAGGAAUACCCGCUUAACUUAAGC
rnacentral:misc_RNA from 1 species